rnacentral:rRNA from 1 species
ACGGGUGAGUAAUGCCUAGGAAUCUGCCUGGUAGUGGGGGAUAACGCUCGGAAACGGACGCUAAUACCGCAUACGUCCUACGGGAGAAAGCAGGGGACCUUCGGGCCUUGCGCUAUCAGAUGAGCCUAGGUCGGAUUAGCUAGUUGGUGAGGUAAUGGCUCACCAAGGCGACGAUCCGUAACUGGUCUGAGAGGAUGAUCAGUCACACUGGAACUGAGACACGGUCCAGACUCCUACGGGAGGCAGCAGUGGGGAAUAUUGGACAAUGGGCGAAAGCCUGAUCCAGCCAUGCCGCGUGUGUGAAGAAGGUCUUCGGAUUGUAAAGCACUUUAAGUUGGGAGGAAGGGCCAUUACCUAAUACGUGAUGGUUUUGACGUUACCGACAGAAUAAGCACCGGCUAACUCUGUGCCAGCAGCCGCGGUAAUACAGAGGGUGCAAGCGUUAAUCGGAAUUACUGGGCGUAAAGCGCGCGUAGGUGGUUCGUUAAGUUGGAUGUGAAAGCCCCGGGCUCAACCUGGGAACUGCAUUCAAAACUGUCGAGCUAGAGUAUGGUAGAGGGUGGUGGAAUUUCCUGUGUAGCGGUGAA